rnacentral:rRNA from 1 species
AGUGAACGCUGGCGGUAGGCCUAACACAUGCAAGUCGAACGGCAGCACAGUAAGAGCUUGCUCUUACGGGUGGCGAGUGGCGGACGGGUGAGGAAUACAUCGGAAUCUACUUUUUCGUGGGGGAUAACGUAGGGAAACUUACGCUAAUACCGCAUACGACCUACGGGUGAAAGCAGGGGAUCUUCGGACCUUGCGCGAUUGAAUGAGCCGAUGUCGGAUUAGCUAGUUGGCGGGGUAAAGGCCCACCAAGGCGACGAUCCGUAGCUGGUCUGAGAGGAUGAUCAGCCACACUGGAACUUAGACACGGUCCAGACUCCUACGGGAGGCAGCAGUGGGGAAUAUUUGACAAAGGGCGCAAGCCUGAUCCAGCCAUACCGCGUGGGUGAAGAAGGCCUUCGGGUUGUAAAGCCCUUUUGUUGGGAAAGAAAAGCAGCAGGUUAAUACCCCGCUGUUCUGACGGUACCCAAAGAAUAAGCACCGGCUAACUUCGUG